CUGGAGAGUGACACAUCAGCAUUCAGGCGGCACUGUAGCCCACUGUGCGGUGGCAAGGAGCCAGCGAGUCUCCCGAGCCAGAGGGAGAUGAGGGCAGCCCUCUGCUGGUUGGACUCCAGCAGCUCAACGAGCUGCACAUAUCUGCUCUACGGUCCUGCAGGGUCACGGGGAUGUGGAACCUAUACCAGAAGAUAUGGGUGCAAGGGCAGGGAAUAAUCCAGGAUGACAUGGGGAGAACAUGCAAACUCCACACGCAUGGAGCCAGAGGUGUGAGAAAGCCAAUGUUUUGGAAAACAAUAAAGCCAGACAGAAUCGGAAAUGUGUGCUUCCACCACAUCACCAGUAAAAUUACUCCUGGUUUCCUGCCUCCUGUCUACCUGCCUGCACCAUCGGGCACUCCAAGUCCUCCAGAACACUGCUGCACGCCGUGUUUUCGACCUCCAGAAAUGUUCACACUUUUCACCUUGUGUGAGCCAACUCACAGCUGUACUUCAAUGCACUGCCCUAUAAAUCACUUUGAAUUAAAAUGAAUCAUAUAAAUGUCAAUAAUAAAAUUGCAUCUGUACACAGUUCAGAUACUGAUAAUGUGUGGAACAUGAAAGCAUUUAUUCUUGUGCAAAUAUAUGCAGCUUGUUGGACAAUUUACUGAAUUAGUCUCUUUUUCUUAGUUAAAGUGUAUGUGGUUCAGGGUACUUCAGUCCAACCAUUUUGGGUUAAUGAUGCAGGCUACAGUGACAAAUAUUUAGACAAUUCAAGUUGAGAAGUACAGAGAAAUGUUUGCCUUUUCUGUUUCAUAUGUGCCAUCAUGAUGAAGCCAUGUUUGUAAUAUCCUGCCAAAGUCCUAGCAUUUUGGAAAUAUGACUCCCUUCUCACAUUCAUGUUAUGCAACCUUGUGCUUUAUUCUUUAGUGACAAAUACAAGCAAAGGCAAAUCAUUUCACGAUACAAGCACUGGAUGCUGUCCAUAAAUUAUUUAGCACGUAGGACUGAUUUGCUUUAAAAAAGAAAGAGAGAGAGAGAGAAAGAGAGAAAAGUCAGCAAAACUUCUCUUGAGUAUGUUCUUGCCAGGAGCCACUGACAUCAUGAUAGCAGAGAUGGCAAGUCUGGUAGAUCUAUCCACACAGAAAGCAACACCAUGAAUUGGUUAUCGCCUUAUCUACUCUUAGAGACCCAGAUACAUCAUUCUGCUUCCUGCCAUUAAUCAGGUACAGUUAUUGGUCAAGGUUAUUCUCUUGUGUUAGUGACUAGUUAGCCAGGGAAAUAAACGUAAUGCAGAGCAUGGCCUGUGAGAAUGGGUGCGAGUCAGAGUGCCGAGCCGAUUAAGAGAUGUUUCACAAUGACAAUUGAAGGUAGACCAAUGCAGCAAGGCGUAAACUCCCUGUAGAUUAUCAAAUUCACUUAGCUCAGAUGAUAUGAGAAGCUGAACAACGUCUGUAAUUGACAAAAAUCACUCAGCAUCACCAUGACAAUAAAUUAAUGUGUUUUUCAAAGACAAAAGUGCCCGUAGUAACCUCAGCUCAAUUGUCAGCAUAUACUGUAACUAGACAUAACUGCCUGAAUAUAUGCACAAAAUGGCAAUGUGUUUUCACUUUUCAGGAAUCUUAAAGAAAGACAUGUAAAACUGAAACUACAAGAGUUUCAUGUUUAAGCAUUCAGCUUGUUGUGUCUGCAAAAAUAAACAUCAGUGUAACAAAA